UCUCAGUACAUGCCGCACUAAGGUGAAACCGCAAAAGGCUCAUUAAAUCAGUUAUGGUUCCUUGGAUCUUAAACAGUUACUUGGAUAACUGUGGUAAUUCUAGAGCUAAUACAUGCAAACAAGUCCCGACCAGAGAUGGGAGGGACGCUUUUAUUAGAUCAAAACCGAUCGGCGUCCGGCUCCGGCCGGCGCCGUCUCUUUUGGUGACUCUGGAUAACUUUUAGCCGAUCGCACGGUCACAGUACCGGCGACGCAUCUUUCAAAUGUCUGACUUAUCAACUGUCGAUGGUAGGCUCUGCGCCUACCAUGGUUGUAACGGGUAACGGGGAAUCAGGGUUCGAUUCCGGAGAGGGAGCCUGAGAAACGGCUACCACAUCCAAGGAAGGCAGCAGGCGCGCAAAUUACCCACUCCCGGCACGGGGAGGUAGUGACGAAAAAUAACGAUACGGGACUCAUCCGAGGCCCCGUAAUCGGAAUGAGUACACUUUAAAUACUUUAACGAGUACCAAUUGGAGGGCAAGUCUGGUGCCAGCAGCCGCGGUAAUUCCAGCUCCAAUAGCGUAUAUUAAAGUUGUUGCGGUUAAAAAGCUCGUAGUUGGAUCUGUGUGCCACGCUGUCGGUUCACCGCCUGUCGGUGUCAACUGGCAUGUCUGUGGGACGUCCUGCCGGUGGCGGUACGGGCUGCCGGCGCUGCGUAGGGGCUCGCCCCCGAAGCACGCCGGCGUGUCCCGGUCCGCCGAUCCAAUCCCGCCGCGGUGCUCUUCACUGAGUGUCGAGGUGGGCCGGCACGUUUACUUUGAACAAAUUAGAGUGCUC
rnacentral:rRNA from 1 species